AGUGAACGCUGGCGGUAGGCCUAACACAUGCAAGUCGAACGGCAGCACAGUAAGAGCUUGCUCUUACGGGUGGCGAGUGGCGGACGGGUGAGGAAUACAUCGGAAUCUACUUUUUCGUGGGGGAUAACGUAGGGAAACUUACGCUAAUACCGCAUACGACCUACGGGUGAAAGCAGGGGAUCUUCGGACCUUUCGCGAUUGAAUGAGCCGAUGUCGGAUUAGCUAGUUGGCGGGGUAAAGGCCCACCAAGGCGACGAUCCGUAGCUGGUCUGAGAGGAUAAUCAGCCACACUGGAACUGAGACACGGUCCAGACUCCUACGGGAGGCAGCAGGGGGGAAUAUUGGACAAUGGGCGCAAGCCUGAUCCAGCCAUACCGCGUGGGUGAAGAAGGCCUUCGGGUUGUAAAGCCCUUUUGUUGGGAAAGAAAAGCAGCAGGUUAAUACCCCGCUGUUCUGACGGUACCCAAAGAAUAAGCACCGGCUAACUUCGUG
rnacentral:rRNA from 1 species